rnacentral:rRNA from 1 species
GAUGAACGCUGGCGGCGUGCCUAAUACAUGCAAGUCGAGCGAACAGAUGAGGAGCUUGCUCCUCUGACGUUAGCGGCGGACGGGUGAGUAACACGUGGAUAACCUACCUAUAAGACUGGGAUAACUUCGGGAAAACGGAGCUAAUACCGGAUAAUAUAUUGAACCGCAGGGUUCAAUAGUGAAAGACGGCUUUGCCGUCACAUAUAGCUGGAUCCGCGCCGCAUUAGCUAGUUGGUAAGGUAACGGCUUACCAAGGCGACGAUGCGUAGCCGACCUGAGAGGGUGAUCGGCCACACUGGAACUGAGACACGGUCCAGACUCCUACGGGAGGCAGCAGUAGGGAAUCUUCCGCAAUGGGCGAAAGCCUGACGGAGCAACGCCGCGUGAGUGAUGAAGGUCUUCGGAUCGUAAAACUCUGUUAUUAGGGAAGAACAAAUGUGUAAGUAACUAUGCACGUCUUGACGGUACCUAAUCAGAAAGCCACGGCUAACUACGUG